rnacentral:rRNA from 1 species
UACGGAGGAUGCGAGCGUUAUCCGGAUUUAUUGGGUUUAAAGGGUGCGUAGGCGGUUGCUUAAGUCAGCGGUGAAAGUUUUCGGCUCAACCGGAAAAUUGCCGUUGAAACUGGGCGACUUGAGUGUAAAUGAAGUAGGCGGAAUUCGUGGUGUAGCGGUGAAAUGCAUAGAUAUCACGAAGAACCCCGAUUGCGAAGGCAGCUUACUAAGCUACAACUGACGCUGAAGCACGAAAGCGUGGGUAUCAAAC